UCACUAUUUCUCUUUUGAACUCCAGGUCUGUCAGACUGCAGAGAUCUGUUUUAUUGUUGACUGUUUUAGGUGAGUUCUCCUGUUGGUUUGACUGGGGGUGGUUUCUCAGCUUCUUCAUCUUCCUUGUUGUUUUCUUUCUCCUGAGGGAGUUGUACUCUCCGUAUCGGGCAGUGUUUGCCUUGUCACUGCCGUGGAAUAUUUCCUGAGGGCUGGUGUUGUUGGUCAAUCUUUUUUGAGGUAGUGUGGCUUUUCUGGAGUGUUGAUGGGGCUAACAGUGUUUCUUUGAAGCAAAGGAGGACUUCCUGAGGGCAGACAGGACUGGGGGGUCCACACCAUGAUGGUAGCAGAUUUCACUUGGUCAUGCAGAGCUUUCUCUGGUGUUUUUAGGCUGUGGGGUUCUUGUAGGGGGUUGGCAGUGUUGGGCAGCUGUUCCUCAGGAGUCUGGGGUCUGGAGCAGCUAUCUGGGUCACUGAGAACCUAAGAGGCUCUUCCCUAGGGCAGCCCAACUCAGAAGGAUGGCCUGAGAAUGUAGGCGGAUCUUUUCACAGUCUGGCCAAGCUUGUUGCAGCUUUUCUGGGCUGCAGGGGCUCCUCCAGGGGGCUGGUGUUGCUGAGCAGCUAUUCUGUGGGAGUGGGGCACCCCCUGAGGGCUUGGGUGGCUAGCAGGGCCACUGAAAACCCAAGAGGCUCCUCCCCAGGGCAGCCCGACUCAGAAAGACCGUCUGAGAUCUUUUCCUGGCUCGGCCAAGCUUGUUGCAACUUUUCUGGGCUGCAGGGGGUCCUGCCUGGAGCUGGCAGUCCUAUGCAGCUGAUCCACUAGGUCUCGGCACCCCCUGGGGGCUUGGGCGUUACCCUCAUUUUUUACCAAGUGUAGACAAAUGAGGACUGUAGAAAGUCUACCCCAAAUGAAAACACUUUUUCUAACUAUUUCUUUUUCAUUGUUGGGUUUGCCAGGGAGCCAGAAUGAACCAAGCAGCCAUCCUGGAUUUCCCAUGGCCCUGACUGUUUAAUUCACAACUAUUGUUUACCUACCUUAACUUCUCAGGUUUAGGAGCAGACUGUUUCCAUGCUACAGGGGCAUCAGGAUGGCAAAAGUCUGACAAUCAGGUGUUAAUUCUUUGUGCUAUAUUUUUCAUUUGAUAGUGUUUCCCCUGUGACUUAUAUUUAGGAAGUUUGUAAAAAAAAAAAAAUACAAGGAAAAGUUUAAAAAUACCUGAUCAGAUAGAAGCAUAGAUUGUUGUUUAACAUUACUUAUUCAACUAAAGUAACAAAGGAUCUCAAAUGCAAAUACAAGUUAAAGGCAAAGAAAUUCACAUAAUCUGUUAUGAAGAGCAGCAUUUUAAGACCUUUUAACAGAGAGACCGAAUCCAAAUUCAAGUUUUGCACUAGCCUCCUUUUCCUACUUUUUGAAGCAACCAUGGACUGUCUUUUAUAAUUUCUAAAAGCAUGCGCUUUCUUGUACGGAACAUCUCAGGUUGGCACUGAACAUGUCCAAUUAAUAGUCUGAAAUGACUUUAGUUUCUCCGUUUAGUAACUGAAGUCUCAGUAUUUCAUUUGACUUUUAGCAAUCUAGGUACAAUAGGUAUUAAACUUAUGUUGAUGACUCUGAAGACAUGUCUAUAUUAAUUAGAUCAAUAAACAUUAAUAUUAGGAGUUCCUGUCAUGGUGCAGCAGAAAGGAAUCCUACUAGGAACCAUGAGGUUGCAGGUUCGAUUCCUGGCUUCGCUCAGCGGUUAAGGAUCCCACAUUGCUAUGAGCUGUGGUGUAGGUCUCAGACAUGGCUUGGAUCCUGGGUUGCUAUGGCUAUGGUGUAGGCCGGCAGCUGUAGCUCGCAUUAGACCCCUAGCCUGGGAACCUCCGUAUGCCGAGGGUACAGCCCUAAAAAAGACAAAAGACAAAAAACAAACAAAUAACACUUUAAUAUUAACAUCUAAUAAUGAAUAUCGAAUGCUGAAUACACUGGCUAUGGGCAGUAUUCCUUGAUCAUUACAGGUGAAAAAAUUUAGAGUAACCAAAGUUUGUCUUAAUAAUCUUGUGGGGAGGGAGCCUUCUUGUUUAAUAAUCUUGUGUGUGGGGGGGUAUUCUUGCUCCCGCUUUUGUUUUUUAAGUUGGAGUUUCAAUUUAUAAUGUUCAUGCUCUGCUAUAGCUUGUCCUUGGGGAUUAUAAGGGAUGCUAGUGACAUGUAAAAUACCCCAAAUUUGACAAAAUUCAGCAAAAGCCUUACUAGCAUAAGCAGGACCAUUAUCCAUUUUAAAACAUCGUGAAAGGCCCAAAAUAGCAAAAGCUUCCAAACAAUGGUUUUUGUCAUGUUGAAUAGUCUCACUUGCCUGAGCUGAGGCCCAAAGAACAGAGGACUAUGUGUCAACAAUAAUAUGAACAAAUUUUAAAUGACCAAAGCUAUUAACAUGGGUAACAUCCAUUUGCCAUAGUUGAUUACUUUUUAGUCCUCUAGGACUGACCCCAUCAUUGGUAGACACUUGGGCUAAGCUUUGACACAAUGGACAGGAUUUAAUAAUGUCUUGGGCAACAGCACAAGACAGACUAAACUGUCUAUGCAGCAUUGCUGCAGGUUGAUGGAGAAGCACAUGUGAAGCACGAGCAGUUUCAAAAAUAGACGUUAUAAGCCAGUCCACCUUUUGAUUACAUCACGUAAAGGAUCUGGUAAAGAAGUAUGAGAACGUAUAUGAGUAAUAAAAAAUGGUGAUGUCCUCUGUCUAAUAAUUUGUUGUGUGCAAAAAAAAAAAGUUGAAAUAACUCAUUAUUUAGUUCUUUCAACUUUGCUGUUUCUAGUUUUUGUACUAAUUGUACCACAUAGUGAGAAUCUGAAACAGUAUUACGAGGAUAUGAGAUUAUUUUUAAGACAUGUUGAACAGCUACUAGUUCCGCUUUUUGAGCUGAAGUGUAAGAAGUUCAUAUAAUUUUGGUAAUAUUUAGACCUUGAAUACCAGCUUUACCAUUUGAAGAUCCAUCUGUAACAUAAGAGCUUUAGCAAUAGGCUGUGAUCUGGUAACUUCUGGAAAUAUAGAAGAGGUCUCUUGUAGGAAUUGUAUAAGUUUAUUUUUGGGUAGAUGAUUAUCAAGUUCCCCUGUAUAUCCAGCUAAAGCAGUCUGCCAUGGAAUAACGUUUCUCUCAUAAAUUUGUCUAGAGGGACCUGUAUAACAUUUGGAUCCGUUCCAAUCAAUUGUUUAAGAUAGCAUCUGCCUUGGAGAAUAAUUUUCGCUAUAAGGUCCACAUAAAGUGUUGCCAUUUUUACUUCUUGAUUAGAAUGAUGGAUCCAUUCAACAAUGCCAAAUGGUGGCAUUUCUUGAACUAGGACUGCUGUAGAUGAAUUUAUGGAAGGCAACACAAUCAGAAUAAUAGGAUUAUCAUAAUACUUGCAACUGUGCUUCAUUUAUUUUUUUCCUCAACCCCGCUGUAAUUCUUUGAGGGCUGCAGGAGACAAUAUAUGGGGGAGGUAAGGUCAGGAUUGCCCUUCAAUGUUUUAAAAAAAUGAGUUAAUUGAUUUGUAGUAAUUCCUAAAUAAGGCCGUAGCCAAUUAAUAUCUCCCAAUAAUUUUUGAAACAUUUAAUGUAUUCAAUUUGUCCCCACAAAUUCACAUUUUUCUGUGGCUGAAUAGUUUGCCCUUCUAUCAAAGUUCCUGAAUAUUGAAAUGGAGGGGUUUUUUGAAUUUGAUUGUUUUUUCCUAAGCCUGUUAGUUUUUGAUAUCCUAAUUUUUUCAUUAGUUUCCAUCCAGGGGAAGAACAAUUAGAAUCACCCCAAUAGACAUCCUUGGUUGUUAAUUUAACUCUCAUAGCAGACAGAAGAUUCUUCCCCAUAAAAUGACAGGUAUAUCAGCAACGUAAAGUUUAAAAUAACCCAUUUUUCCUUUUGGUCCGAACCAGGAAAGCAUCUGCUGACUUUGAUGGACUGUAGUCUAACUCCUAAUCCCCUCAACCUCAUUUUGGGGGUAAUUAAAGGCCAUGCAGGAUGCCAGUCACUCUAACAAAUAACCACAAAUCACUGAAACACGGCUCUAGUAUCUCUUAAUCCCCUUAGAUUUUUUCCAUUAACCUUAACAGUCAUUUGUGGACCUUCAGCUGUGACUUCCUGAGUCCAAAAGACUUGAGAAGUCCCUAACUUCCAAAUCCUGAUGUUCCCUUUUCUUUCUGGCAACUCUUUCCUAUCUUAAGAUUGGCUUGAGCCACAAGUGCCUUCAUUGGUUGAGGGGGCCAGGGCAGGCCCGAUUCCCAUUUCCUGACACUGGAGUUGUUAGUAGAGUGCCGUUUUGGUGAAACAGACCUAGACCUUCUGGUGAAACUUAGACCGACAUUGAUUAACCCAAUGGUUUCCUUUCUGACAACAAGGACAUAAACCAGGGUUAUGCCUAGGUCCUGGAGAUGAUCCUGUUGCUAGGGAUGAUUUCCCUUUUAUUUAUUUUUUAUUUUUUUCUUUAUUUUUUUAAAUUGUUAUUUCCCCAAUACAAUUUUUUUUUCUACUGUACAGCAUGGUGACCCAGUUACAUAUACAUGUAUACAUUCUAUUUUCUCACAUUAUCAUGCUCCAUCGUAAGUGACUAGACAAAGUUCCCAGUGCUACACAGCAGGAUCUCAUUGCUAAUCCAUUCUAAAGGCAAUGAUUUGCAUCUAUUGACCCCAAGCUCCCAAUCCACCCCAUUCCCUCUCCCUCCCCCUUGGCAACCACAAGUCUGUUCUCCAAGUCCAUGAUUUUCUUUUCUGUGGAAAGGUUUGUUUGUGCUGUAUAUUAGAUUCCAGUUAUAAGUGAUAUCAUAUGGUAUUUGUCUUUCUCUUUCUCACUAACUUCACUCAGUAUGAGAAUCUCUAGUUCCAUCCAUGUUGCUGCAAAUGGCAUUAUUUCGUUCUUUUUUAUGGCUGAGUAGUAUUCCAUUGUGUAUAUAUACCACAUCUUUCGAAUCCAAUCAUCUGUCGAUGGACAUUUGGGUUGUUUCCAUGUUUGGCUAUUGUGAACAUUGCUGCAAUGAACAUGAGGGUGCAUGUGUCUUUUUUAAGGAAAGUUUUGUCUGGAUAUAUGCCCAAGAGUGGGAUUGCCAGGUCAUAUGGUAGUUCUACGUGUGGAUUUCUAAGGCACUACCAUAUUGUUCUCCAUAGUGGUUGUACCAGCUUACAUUCCCACCAGCAGUGCAGGAGGGUUCCCUUCUCUCCACACCCCCUCCUGCAUUUGUUAUUUGUGGACUUAUGAAUGAUGGCCAUUCUGACUGGUGUGAGGUGGCAUCUCAUGGUAGUUUUGAUUUGCAGUUCUCUAAUAAUCAGGGAUAUUGAGCAUUUUUUCAUGUGCUUGUUGGCCAUCUGUACAUCUUCCUUGGAAAAAUGUCUACUCAGAUCUUUUGCCCAUUUUCAAUUGGGUUGUUGGCUUUUUUGCUCUUGAGUUGUAUAAGUUGCUUGUAUAUUUUAAAGAUUAAGCCCUCAUCAGUUGCAUCAUUUGAAACUAUUUUCUCCCAUUCUGUAAGUUGUCUUUUUGUUUUCUUUUUGGUUUUCUUUGCUGUACAAAAGCUUAUCGGGGGAGUUCCCAUCGUGGUGCAGUGGUUAACGAAUCUGACUAGGAACCAUGAGGUUGCUGGUUCGGUCCCUGCCCUUGCUCAGUGGGUUAAACGAUCCGGCGUUGCCGUGAGCUGCGGUAUAGGUUGCAGACGUGGCUUGGAUCCCACGUUGCUGUGGCUCUGGCGUAGGCCGGUGGCUACAGCUCCGAUUCGACCCCUAGCCUGGGAAUGUCCAUAUGCUGCAGGAGCGGCCCAAGAAAUAGCAAAAAG
rnacentral:lncRNA from 1 species